CCAGGUUUCCUUGUGGGGGUUCUGAAGUUCGGUGAGAGUAGCCUGGUAACAGAGGGCUGCUGCUUGCAGGGCAGGAGGAUCUGAUGAUAUUUUGAUGAUAUUUAAUGAUACUACGGUGGAGCUGGAGCUGGUGCAGCAUAAUGCAUUAUGGGAAGAAGGCAGGCCAGUGGCAGCAGUGUUAUGCUCUAAGCAAUGUUUUGCUGGGAAACCAUGCGUCCUGGCAUUAAUUUUGGAUGUUACUUUGACAUGUACAACCUUCCUAGAGAUUGUUGCAGACCAUGUGUUCAGAGGGCUUGUGGAGUCUAUGCCUUGAAGCUGUUUUGGCAGCAUAUAGGGGACUUAUAUGAUAUUAGGCAGGUGGCUUUAAUGUUGUGGCAGGAGUCACAAUAACUUGUCAAGCUUUACAAAGACCCAC